CGCGUAGGUGGUUAGGUAAGCGAGAUGUGAGAGCCCCGGGCUUAACCUGGGAACGGCAUUUCGAACUGUCUGACUAGAGUAUGGUAGAGGGUAGUGGAAUUUCCUGUGUAGCGGUGAAAUGCGUAGAUAUAGGAAGGAACACCAGUGGCGAAGGCGGCUACCUGGACCAAUACUGACACUGAGGUGCGAAAGCGUGGGGAGCAAACA
rnacentral:rRNA from 1 species